rnacentral:rRNA from 1 species
GACGAACGCUGGCGGCGUGCUUAACACAUGCAAGUCGAACGGAAAGGCCCUGCUUUUGUUGGUUUCUCUAGUGGCGAACGGGUGAGUAACACGUGAGUAACCUGCCCUUGACUUUGGGAUAACUUCAGGAAACCGGGGCUAAUACCGGAUAGGCGCUCCUGCUGCAUGGUGGGGGUUGGAAAGUUUCGGCGGUUGGGGAUGGACUCGCGGCUUAUCAGCUUGUUGGUGGGGUAGUGGCUUACCAAGGCUUUGACGGGUAGCCGGCCUGAGAGGGUGACCGGCCACAUUGGGACUGAGAUACGGACAAGAGUCCUACGGGAGGCAGCAGUGGGGAAUAUUGCACAAUGGGCGGAAGCCUGAUGCAGCAACGCUGCGUGCGUGAUAACGGCCUUCGGGGUGUAAACCGCUUUCGCCUGUGACGAAGCGUGAGUGACGGUAAUGGGUAAAGAAGCACCGGCUAACUACGUG